rnacentral:rRNA from 1 species
CCUACGGGGGGCUGCAGUGGGGAAUAUUGGACAAUGGGCGAAAGCCUGAUCCAGCCAUGCCGCGUGUGUGAAGAAGGCCUUCGGGUUGUAAAGCACUUUCAGUGGGGAAGAAAGCCUUGGGGCUAAUACCCUCGAGGAAGGACAUCACCCACAGAAGAAGCACCGGCCAACUCCGUGCCAGCAGCCGCGGUAAUACGGAGGGUGCGAGCGUUAAUCGGAAUUACUGGGCGUAAAGCGCGCGUAGGCGGUCUGAUAAGCCGGUUGUGAAAGCCCCGGGCUCAACCUGGGAACGGCAUCCGGAACUGUCAGGCUAGAGUGCAGGAGAGGAAGGUAGAAUUCCCGGUGUAGCGGUGAAAUGCGUAGAGAUCGGGAGGAAUACCAGUGGCGAAGGCGGCCUUCUGGACUGACACUGACGCUGAGGUGCGAAAGCGUGGGUAGCAAACAGGAUUAGAUACCCGGGUAGUC